rnacentral:rRNA from 1 species
AUUGAACGCUGGCGGAAUGCUUUACACAUGCAAGUCGAACGGCAGCACGGGGGCAACCCUGGUGGCGAGUGGCGAACGGGUGAGUAAUACAUCGGAACGUGCCCAGUCGUGGGGGAUGACGUAGCGAAAGCUACGCUAAUACCGCAUACGAACUCUGGUUGAAAGCGGGGGAUCGCAAGACCUCGCGCGAUUGGAGCGGCCGAUGGCAGAUUAGGUAGUUGGUGGGGUAAAGGCUCACCAAGCCGACGAUCUGUAGCUGGUCUGAGAGGACGACCAGCCACACUGGGACUGAGACACGGCCCAGACUCCUACGGGAGGCAGCAGUGGGGAAUUUUGGACAAUGGGCGAAAGCCUGAUCCAGCCAUUCCGCGUGCAGGAUGAAGGCCCUCGGGUUGUAAACUGCUUUUGUACGGAACGAAACGGCUCCGGCUAAUACCUGGAGCUAAUGACGGUACCGUAAGAAUAAGCACCGGCUAACUACGUGCCAGCCGCCGCCGUAACAC